rnacentral:misc_RNA from 1 species
CAAGGCAGGGAUGCAGCUUUGAACCCGGCUCAAACGGCCUGUGCGACCUUGUAGUCGAACAAAUAGCCCUCCAGCGCCUUCUCGACCACGCCCUGCUGACCAGANNNNNNNNNCCCGCCGUUCCGGUGACAUCAAUGCCCGGCUGGCCGCCGGCCGCGACAUCAAUCCUCGCGCUGUCGGACCCAACGGCAUCCGCCACCACCUGCUCCACCAGCCGCUGCACGGCGUCGGUCCGCAACUGCGGCUUUAAGA